rnacentral:rRNA from 1 species
GUGUCAGCAGCCGCGGUAAUACGUAGGUGGCAAGCGUUGUCCGGAUUUAUUGGGUUUAAAGGGUGCGUAGGCGGCUUAUUAAGUCAGUGGUGAAAUACUCUAGCUCAACUAGAGGGGUGCCAUUGAUACUGAUGAGCUUGAGUACAGAUGAGGUAGGCGGAAUUGACGGUGUAGCGGUGAAAUGCUUAGAUAUCGUCAAGAACACCUAUAGCGAAGGCAGCUUACUAGGCUGUAACUGACGCUGAGGCACGAAAGUGUGGGGAUCAAACAGGAUUAGAUACCCUGGUAGUCC